GUGCUCACUUCCGCAGCACACACACUGAAACUGAAACAAGACAGAGGGGAUUGAGUGUGGCCCCGUCGCAGCAAAGACGGCAUGCAAAUUUGUGAAGCGUUCUAUAUUUUU